rnacentral:rRNA from 1 species
UACGGAGGAUCCGAGCGUUAUCCGGAUUUAUUGGGUUUAAAGGGUGCGCAGGCGGGAUGUUAAGUCGGCGGUGAAAUUUUGCAGCUCAACUGUAAAAAGUGCCUUCGAUACUGGCUUCCUUGAGUGUGGAUGAAGUAGGCGGAAUUUGUGGUGUAGCGGUGAAAUGCUUAGAUAUCACGAGGAACUCCGAUUGCGCAGGCAGCUUACUAAACCACUACUGACGCUCAUGCACGAAGGCGUGGGGAUCAAACAGGAUUAGAUACCCCCGUA